rnacentral:rRNA from 1 species
GAUGAACGCUAGCGACAGGCCUAACACAUGCAAGUCGAGGGGUAACAUUAUUUUAGUUUACUAUAAUAGAUGACGACCGGCGCACGGGUGAGUAACACGUAUACAACCUGCCUUUAACAUUGGGAUAACCCGUUGAAAAGCGGACUAAUACCAAAUGAUAUAAUUUUAUCGCAUGAUAUUUUUAUUAAAGAUUUAUUGGUUUUAGAUGGGUAUGCGUAUGAUUAGUUUGUUGGUAAGGUAACGGCUUACCAAGACUUCGAUCAUUAGGGGUUCUGAGAGGAAGGUCCCCCACACUGGUACUGAGACACGGACCAGACUCCUACGGGAGGCAGCAGUGAGGAAUAUUGGUCAAUGGGCGAGAGCCUGAACCAGCCAAGUCGCGUGAAGGAUGACUGCCCUCUGGGCUGUAAACUUCUUUUGUAUAGGAAUAACGGGCUCCACGUGUGGAGUUAUGCAUGUACUAUACGAAUAAGGAUCGGCUAACUCCGUGCCAGCAGCCGCGGUAAUACGGAGGAUCCAAGCGUUAUCCGGAUUUAUUGGGUUUAAAGGGUGCGUAGGUGGACUUAUAAGUCAGCGGUGAAAGUUUGUAGCUCAACUAUAAAAUUGCCGUUGAAACUGUAGGUCUUGAGUUCAAGUGAGGUUGGCGGAAUGUGUCAUGUACGGUGAAAUGCUUAAUAUGACCCAGAACUCCGAUUGCGUAGCAGCUGACUGGUAUGCGACUGACACUGAUGCACGAAAGCGUGGGUAUCAAACAGGAUUAGAUACCCCUGGUAGUCCACGCCGUAAACGAUGAAUACUAAACUGUUUGCGAUUAUACAGUAAGCGGUACAGCGAAAGCGUUAAGUAUUCCCCCUGGGGGAUACGUUGGGCACAAUGAAACUCAUAGGAAUUUGACGGGGGCCCGCC